AUGUUGACUAACCCUAUUAAUAGCCUUCAUGAGCAUUGUGAUGAUGCAGGAAACACCAGUGAAAAAAUCAUAGCAAAUGGUGAAGAAAACAGUGCAGCAGAUUCAUAUUUCAUGUGUCCUGGCCUGGGGAGCAAAUCCCCCUCAGGAUCUGGUCAGGAGCUGCUGCUACGCAGCGAAUUCGCUUCGGGAUCGGUGCUCUGCAGCGAAUCUGCUAUGACAGCCACGACAGGCGCAGGCAUCCUGGCGGGCCAUGGGGCCUCCCCUCGUGCACGCCAAUCGCCGCCCAACAGAUGGCAGGCCGGCGCUGGCCCGGGCCGCGCGCGGCUUGAGGCCCAACCACUCGUCUACAAGCGGCGGACAACGACUCGUCUGACGGGAGCGGGACAGACCCUGGUGGCCUUAAGGAUACAAAGGAUCAGCUCGAUCUAG
rnacentral:rRNA from 1 species